GAACUGGUGAGUAACAGCGUGGGAAACCUGCCCAGAAGCGGGGGAUAACACCUGGAAACAGAUGCUAAUACCGCAUAACAACUUGGACCGCAUGGUCCGAGCUUGAAAGAUGGCUUCGGCUAUCACUUUUGGAUGGUCCCGCGGCGUAUUAGCUAGAUGGUGGGGUAACGGCUCACCAUGGCAAUGAUACGUAGCCGACCUGAGAGGGUAAUCGGCCACAUUGGGACUGAGACACGGCCCAAACUCCUACGGGAGGCAGCAGUAGGGAAUCUUCCACAAUGGACGAAAGUCUGAUGGAGCAACGCCGCGUGAGUGAAGAAGGGUUUCGGCUCGUAAAACUCUGUUGUUAAAGAAGAACAUAUCUGAGAGUAACUGUUCAGGUAUUGACGGUAUUUAACCAGAAAGCCACGGCUAACUACGUGCCAGCAGCCGCGGUAAUACGUAGGUGGCAAGCGUUGUCCGGAUUUAUUGGGCGUAAAGCGAGCGCAGGCGGUUUUUUAAGUCUGAUGUGAAAGCCUUCGGCUCAACCGAAGAAGUGCAUCGGAAACUGGGAAACUUGAGUGCAGAAGAGGACAGUGGAACUCCAUGUGUAGCGGUGAAAUGCGUAGAUAUAUGGAAGAACACCAGUGGCGAAGGCGGCUGUCUGGUCUGUAACUGACGCUGAGGCUCGAAAGUAUGGGUAGCAAACAGGAUUAGAUACCCUGGUAGUCCAUACCGUAAACGAUGAAUGCUAAGUGUUGGAGGGUUUCCGCCCUUCAGUGCUGCAGCUAACGCAUUAAGCAUUCCGCCUGGGGAGUACGGCCGCAAGGCUGAAACUCAA
rnacentral:rRNA from 1 species